GAUGAAGAACGUAGUGAAAUGCGAUAAGUAAUGUGAAUUGCAGAAUUCAGUGAAUCAUCGAAUCUUUGAACGCACAUUGCGCCCGCUAGUAUUCUAGCGGGCAUGCCUGUUCGAGCGUCAUUUCAACCCUCAGGCCCCCGGGCCUGGCGUUGGGGAUCGGCGGAGCCCCCCGUGGGCACACGCCGUCCCCCAAAUACAGUGGCGGUCCCGCCGCAGCUUCCAUCGCGUAGUAGCUAACACCUCGCGACUGGAGAGCGGCGCGGCCACGCCGUAAAACACCCAACUCUUCUGAAGUUGACCUCGAAUCAGGUAGGAAUACCCGCUGAACUUAAGCAUAUCAAUAAGCGGAGGA
rnacentral:misc_RNA from 1 species